rnacentral:rRNA from 1 species
CUUUUCUCGUUAGUUUUUGAAGUAUGGCCUGCCCGCUGACUUUGAUGUUGAAGGGCCGCGGUAUUUUGACCGUGCAAAGGUAGCAUAGUCAUUAGUUCUUUAAUUGUGAUCUGGUAUGAAUGGCUUGACGAGGCAUGGGCUGUCUUAAUUUUGAAUUGUUUAUUGAAUUUGGUUUUUGAGUUAAAAUUCUUAGAUGUUUUUAUGGGACGAGAAGACCCUAUAGAGUUUAACAUUUAUUACGGUUCUUUUCUGUUUGUGAGGGUUCGCUGGGCCGUUUAGUAUGUUUCGUUGGGGUGAUGGGAGGGAUUUAUUUAACCCCUCCUUUAUGUUGUUAUAUUUAUUUAUAUUUAUUUGAUCCAUUUAUUUUGAUUGUAAGAUUAAGUUACCUUAGGGAUAACAGCGUUAUCCCCCUUGAGAGUUCUUAUCGGCAGGGGGGUUUGCGACCUCGAUGUUGGAUUAAGAUUUAUUUUCGGUGUAGGGGCUGGAAGUUAUUAGGUCUGUUCGACCUUUAAA